rnacentral:rRNA from 1 species
CCCUUAGAUGUCCGGGGCCGCACGCGCGCUACACUGAAGGAAUCAGCGUGGCUUUCUCCCUGACCCGAAAGGGUUGGGAAACCCGUUGAAUCUCCUUCGUGAUAGGGAUUGGGGCUUGAAAUUGUUCCCCAUGAACGAGGAAUUCCCAGUAAGCGCGAGUCAUAAGCUCGCGUUGAUUACGUCCCUGCCCUUUGUACACACCGCCCGUCGCUACUACCGAUUGAACGGUUUAGUGAGGGCCUCGGAUUGGUCUCGGCCCGCUCUUUACCGGGCGGCGCCGUUGGUCGAGAAGACGCUCGAACUUGAUCGUUUAGAGGAAGUAAAAGUCGUAAC